AUUGAACGCUGGCGGCAGGCUUAACACAUGCAAGUCGAGCGUGCGGCGGACGUUUGUCUAAUUUCUUGGAAACUGCCUGAUGGAGUGGGAUAACUACUUUAAACGUUAGCUAAUACCUCAUACCAUCAUAUGUGCCCUGAUGUGAUUGGCUAGUAGGUGGGGUAAUGGAUCACCUAGGCGACCAUCCCUCGCUGGUCUGAGAGGAUGACCAGCCGCACUGGAACUGAGACACGGUCCAGACUCCUACGGGAGGCAGCAGUGGGGAAGAUUGCACAAUGGGCGCAAGCCUGAUGCAGCCAUGCCGCGUGUGUGAAGAAGGCCUUCGGGUUGUAAAGCACUUUCAGCGAGGAGGCGGUAAUCGAAGAAGAAGAACCGGCUAACUCCGUGCCAGCAGCCGCGGUAAUUG
rnacentral:rRNA from 1 species